AUGUUGUUCGCUUGCAGCUUGCGUUCUAGCUUCAGUUUCAUGUUUGCCUUUCCUGAUCAGACCUUUAAUUUCCUUCUGUACUACUUUCAACUCAUCCCUACUUCCAGUUUCAUCCCUUUGGAACGCAUUCCAGCUUCAUCCCUGUGGAACACAUUCCAGUUUCAUCCCUGUGGAACGCAUUCCAGUUUCAUCCCUGUGGAACGCAUUCUAGUUUCAUCCCUGUGGAACGCAUCCCAGUUUCAUCCCUGUGGAACGCAUUCCGGUUUCAACCCUGUGGAACGCAUUACAGUUUCAUCCCUGUGGAACGCAUUCCAGUUUCAUCCCUGUGGAACGACGCAUUCCAGUUUCAUCCCUGUGGAACGCAUUCCAAUUUCAUCCCUGUGGAACGCAUUCCAGUUUCAUCCCUGUGGAACGACGCAUUCCAGUUUCAUCCCUGUGGAACGCAUUCCAGUUUCAUCCCUGUGGAACGCAUUCCAGUUUCAUCCCUGUGGAACGCAUUCCAGUUUCAUCCCUGUGGGAAGCAUUCCAAUUUCAUCCCUGUGGAACGCAUUCCAGUUUCAUCCCUGUGGAACGCAUUCCAAUUUCAUCCCUGUGGAACGACGCAUUCCAGUUUCAUCCCUGUGGAACGCAUUACAGUUACAUCCCUGUGGAACGCAUUCCAGUUUCAUCUCUGUGGAACGCAUUCCAGUUUCAUCCCUGUGGGAAGCAUUCCAAUUUCAUCCCUGUGGAACGCAUUCCAGUUUCAUCCCUGUGGAACGCAUUCCAGUUUCAUCCCUGUGGAACGCAUUCCAGUUUCAUCCCUGUGGAACGACGCAUUCCAGUUUCAUCCCUGUGGAACGCAUUCCAGUUACAUCCCUGUGGAACGCAUUCCAGUUUCAUCUCUGUGGAACGCAUUCCAGUUUCAUCCCUGUGGAAAGCAUUCCAAUUUCAUCCCUGUGGAACGACGCAUUCCAGUUUCAUCCCUGUGGAACGACGCAUUCCAGUUUCAUCCCUGUGGAACGCAUUUCAGUUUCAUCCCUGUGGAACGCAUUCCAGUUUCAUCCCUGUGGAACGACGCAUUCCAGUUUCAUCCCUGUGGAACGCAUUCCAGUUUCAUCCCUGUGGAACGCAUUCCGGUUUCAUCCCUGUGGAACGCAUUCCAGUUUCAUCCCUGUGGAACGCAUUCCAGUUUCAUCCCUGUGGAACGCAUUCCGGUUUCAUCCCUGUGGAACGCAUUCCAGUUUCAUCCCUGUGGAACGCAUUCCAGUUUCAUCCCUGUGGAACGCAUUCCAGUUUCAUCCCUGUGGAACGCAUUCCAGUUUCAUCUCUGUGGAAAGCAUUCCAAUUUCAUCCCUGUGGAACGCAUUCCAGUUUCAUCCCUGUGGAACGCAUUCCAGCUUCAUCCCUGUGGAACGCAUUCCAGUUUCAUCCCUGUGGAACACAUUCCAGUUUCAUCCCUGUGGAACGCAUUCCAGUUUCAUCCCUGUGGAACGCAUUUCAGUUUCAUCUCUGUGGAACGCAUUCCAGUUUCAUCCCUGUGGAACGACGCAUUCCAGUUUCAUCCCUGUGGAACGCAUUCCAGUUUCAUCCCUGUGGAACGCAUUCCAGUUUCAUUCCUGUGGAACCCAUUCCAGUUUCAUCCCUGUGGAAAGCAUUCCAAUUUCAUCCCUGUGGAACGCAUUCCAGUUUCAUCCCUGUGGAACGCAUUCCAGCUUCAUCUCUGUGGAACGCAUUCCAGUUUCAUCCUUGUGGAACACAUUCCAGUUUCAUCCCUGUGGAACGCAUUCCAGUUUCAUCUCUGUGGAACGCAUUCCAGUUUCAUCCCUGUGGAACGACGCAUUCCAGUUUCAUCCCUGUGGAACGCAUUCCAGUUUCAUCCCUGUGGAACGCAUUCCAGUUUCAUCCCUGUGGAACGACGCAUUCCAGUUUCAUCCCUGUGGAACGCAUUCCAGUUUCAUCUCUGUGGAACGCAUUCCGGUUUCAUCCCUGUGGAACGACGCAUUCCAGUUUCAUCCCUGUGGAAAGCAUUCCAAUUUCAUCCCUGUGGAACGACGCAUUCCAGUUUCAUCUCUGUGGAACGCAUUACAGUUUCAUCCCUGUGAAAAGGAUUCCAAUUUCAUCCCUGUGGAACGCAUUCCAGUUUCAUCCCUGUGGAACGCAUUCCAGUUUCAUCCCUGUGGAACGCAUUCCAGUUUCAUCCCUGUAGAAAGCAUUCCAAUUUCAUCCCUGUGGAACUCAUUCCAGCUUCAUCCCUGUGGAACGCAUUCGAUACCUCGGAGAGUCCAUGCGCCAACGAAUUGAGGCUGUUCUAAGGGAAAAAGGGGUGCAACUCAACAUUAGGAAGGUGUUAUUAAUGUUUUGUACGUUCAGUCCGAUGUGAUUGCAAUGCCGUUCAGUCAGUUACACAAUAUCCAGUUUUUUUCAACACUUUUUAAGCAACCCAUGACAGUUGAUAUUUUAAGAAAUUCCUUUUUCCACCAAUUUACAAGUUUCAUAACUUGGGGGAUUAUUACAGUUCAUAUAACCACUCUGUUCUGGUUUUAAAGACGGGCCUAUUUUAGUGUCUUUAAGGGUUACUUAUGGUUGUGCCCCUUGUACACAUAAACAUCGUCAUCUCUGACAACCACUUUCAAAUCCAUUUCUAUCCUCUGCUCUUUGAAAAGAGCUUCCUAGAUUCAACAAUGAACAAUGAAUCUGGCAGAUAAGACAAUGUAUUGUCUUCUGUUUCCAAGAUAAAUGUACAUUGGAUCUUUAUAUUCUCAAUAUCAAUACACAUUUCUGAUACAUUUGAGCCCACAAAUUAAAUGUUGUUAAUUGUUUUAUUAUUUUGCCAUAUAUGACAGCAUUCAGCUAUCAAACAAUACUCAUCAAAUGUCUGUCAACACACAUGGCCAUGAUAAGCUUCUCCUGAGUGUAUUUGUGAAAGGCGUGAUGAAAAUGUCCUCGGUGGUAGAUGAGGGUCUCCUUUUGUAAUGGUCAUUAUUAAUUGAAUAUGUUGUAUGAAUUAUGUUCAAUUAAAGAAAUUAGAGACUGUACACUCAUUUGUGACAUUUAUGCUUUCCACAACACCUUUUCUACUCAACAUAAAUGUACUUGAAUGAUUAUGUCACUGUGAGAGCUAUUGGAUACAUUUUUAACAUGCCUGUAUUCUCCUAAAUGUUUUGUCUUCACCAGCACCACCCACCAAUGUGUCCAUCAGCCUGCUCCCAGCCCGGCCUCUGGUGGGAGAAAAGGUCACUCUGUCCUGUCUUGUAUCCUCAUCCCCUGUUCCUUCACACACCCCAACUCUUACAACCCCACUAAUGUCACCUGGUACCAGCAUUCCAAGCUGCCUGGUAAAUACCCAGUCGUCUUCAGCCGCACCAAACCAGUGGAUAUCAUAGAGCACUACAGAGGUAGAACUGAACUGGUGGGAAGGGCCUCUGAUGGAGACUGCUGCCUGAUGAUCAAUGGAAUGAUAUUAGAACAUAACGGAGAGGACAUUUUCCCUUGGGUGGAUGAGGUCCACAAGUCUGUCUUUGCAUUAUUUCAGUGGAGGGUGACACUGGAGGUUCCAGGUAAUGAAUUAUGCAUUACCCGACAAAAGGGCUCCUGAAGAUGGAUUGAGAUUUUUUAAAUUAACCAAAUAUGAUAACAUGAAUCCAAAAGAAAAUGUGUCUUAAUGUAGUUUUUGUUGGUUACAUUAUGUAGAUGUUAGCAGACUGCUGCGAGGAAUGACCGAUAACACAAUGAGUGAACCCAUAGUUAGUGUCUUAGACUUAGUGUCUCUUGUUAUUUCCAGAUACAGCACCAAGGCCACAGCUGUCACUCAGUGAAUGGCAGAAGGAGGGGGGGGGGCAACAUCACUGUUUCCUGUACUGUCCCCCACACCUGC
ensembl:lncRNA